UCUAUGAACUCUGAACCCUACAGGCAUGGGAUAAUGAGUAAGGAAACGAUGUAACAAUAGCUUUGAUCCUACUGUACAUUGAUAAUCAUGGGCAAAGUGUUUCAUGUGUAAGAAUAAAUUGUACCAGGGGACAGAUAUGAGGUUGUUGGGAACGUGGGCAGAUUAUUUAAAAUCAUACCCAAUAUUGGGCCUUAUCUGACAAGAGCAAUUGUAACUCACAGGCAACAAAUUGAACAAACAUGGGAACAGCUGCAGCAGGCAGAGCUCACCUUUAGAUACCAGGUAACCUCAGUUCUGCCUGACAUACUGAACCCUUAGCACCUCAUGCAGGUGAGUGUAGUGGUCCUUGGAAUCCCUAACCACGGGCUUUUUUCAUUGUUGGCUUUUUCAGAUCGCAGUUCAUGAGAAGAAUGCUCAGGACAACGAGAUCAAGACUCAGAUGUGGGACAGGGAGAUGGCAGAGCAGGGCAGGGACAUUGCCUACUUGAAAUACAGGACUGGACAGGAUGGAAGCAAAGAGGCUGCCUGAGGGAUACACGAGGCAGAAACCAAUGGCUGCAAGACCAGAGAUGUAGAACCCUCCCAGGAGAGGGUCUUUAGUAGAUCGAGAAACUGCUAAAACCUCUGUGAGUUACAGUGGCUCUGACAGUACCAAGAAUGCAGACAAGGACAGGGGCAGUCUGGAUCCUGGGGACCUCCUCCGUUAACUGGACGAUUCUGCAUGCCCUACCUUAGAGACGCUCCACCCCCAUGGACUAUUAGGCACGUCCACCUCCUGAACCCUGCUGGCCCUGGGGCCACCCAGAACCCCUCUACCUGCAACACUUGAAUUUCAGCUCAUUUUUCCAGAGGACAUAAUUACUGUGCAAAAUAUACUGCACUUAAGCUGAGAAGUACCUCAGAAGUAAAAUAAAUUAGCUGAACCCAACUAACAUGUAUAGGUUACCUGUGUCUCUAAGAGCAUGCUUUCCCAGGUCCUCUGCAGGCCCUCAGGAUCCCCAUCUCCCCAUGUGUCUCUGUGCCCAUGGAUAGCACUUCCAGAAAGGAGGAGACCCCAUUGUCAGGACAGAAGUAGUUUGGGCACAGGCUUAGAGGCAGAGCUUUGAGCCACGAGGGCUGUGAUUCCAUGUGUGGACACUGGCAUUGUCAUUCCUUCUCAUUCUGUAGUUCUUCACAUACACCUUAAACAGCCUCUGUGGUGGAGGGGGAUGAAGGGUGGAGGGUGAUCCUGGACACAGAUGUCUUCCUAUCUGGAAUAUGCUACUUUGUUAAUUUGGGAUUCAGUCUAUAAAUCUAGGAAAAGGGCCCUUGCCGUUUCUACAUUUCCAGACACGUAUAGACGCUAGUUUAUCCCAAUCACAUCCAUUCCCCACCCCAAAGCUGUAAGUGGAACCCAAAGUAUGGGUAGAGAUUUUGGCGCUGAUGCUGCCCUCUUGGAACCUGGUGGUGGGGAAGCUAGUAGGAUAUGAACACUGCUUCUUUGGCUUUCUGCUUUUUGCUGGUGUUGGUGCUCUGUUUUGUCCUAUGAACAUACCUCUCAUUUCUUUUCUGCAGGCUAUUUUGUAUGCAAGAGGGCCUGGUCCUUUCCCAGGAUCACCUUGCAGGCUGUACCCCAUGGACCACCCUUCACUACCAGUCAUGGGCUAUAGGCCACAUCCCCCUCCUCCACCAGCUCCUCCACCUACUCUGUUUGUUAAGAUGACCUGAACUGGAUGGGUGGCUGGUAAAGUAUAUUCAUCUUCUUCAUGACUGACUUUGUGGCAAUGAUAUAGAGAUGGUUGUGAGUCUUGGCAACCCAACUACAAACUGCCUGAGGACACUGUAACAUAUCUCAAGUUUCUCAGGACAUAUACACAAUGGGCAGUGUCCUUUCCCAGUAAUAGAGUGAGCUAUAUGUUUCUCUUGUCAAAUGAAAGAGGAUUUUUUACACAAAAGCAGACGUAUCAGCAGUACUGCUGCAUAUUUUGGAGACACAAUGUUUUGGGUUCUGUAGAGAAUGAGGAGCACCCCUAACUUUUAGAGCAUCAGGUGUCCUGUGUGAAAGAGGGACAUUCAUUAAAUGAUGCAGACCUUGUGAUCACCAUAAUGGAAACACCAGUGAAGGAUCCAGUGCAAAAACAGGGGAACCUUGAAUCAUACAGGAAUAGAAGGGAAGUUGAGCACAGUAAGCAAAGUUUGAGGAGGUGCAGAGGGGAGGGUGUUGGGGUCAGUGAGAUGCAGUUGGAGGUCAUUCCUGGCCACAGCCUGAGCAGGGAGUGUCAGGUCCAUACGGAGCUGCUAUGUGGGAUCUCUCUCAGUGCACAAUGCAGUGUUCGUGUGUUGCCAAAGUGCACGCAGGUAAUGAUCUAAAAAAUAUUAUUGUCUCCCUGGAUUUUCCUGAAGGUUCUGUAUAUUUGUGGGGGGGAAAAACCCUGGAGAUAUUGGGAAUUUAACUUGGUCUUAUGAAAAUGCUCUAUGCCCAAGUUCAUAUCCCUCAGUGAGACUAAAAGUGGAGACAGGAUCUAGAUCAGCUGAGUGCCUGCAUUGGCCUUCAGCCUGGGUCAACCUACAGUUUAGGGCUGCCCAGAUGCCACCCCUGCUAGACCCCUGACAUCACCCUGACUACAGCUUUGCAUCUCCUCAAACUUCUCUCACAAUAUCCUGAGGCUUUGCCUGUGUUCCUGCUAUCUCAGCCCUAAUACCAGUUCUCAGUGGGACCUACACAGAGUCUCAGCUGUGUUAUCUGUGAAAAAAGGGGUAAUAUUUGUUUCUAAGAAUAAGAGAAAAAGAAGACAUUCAAUACAUAAAGCAUCUGAAAAAUCUCUGGGAAGUGUCCCCUCAUGCUUCUCACAGUUUCAAUGAAGAUAUCUCCACAUAAUGAUCCUCCAAAACAGAUGGUCACGGGAGUUCAUUAAACUAAGACUGUUAACAACUCAGCCCAGGGAGGGGGAAUCACUGUUUUAAAAAAUAAGACAAUGUCCCUCAUUUUUCUAGUAAAAUUCGGGCCCUGCCACACAAUGAAAGCAAAGAUAAUUAUGAGAAUGUGUACAUUCAGAGACCCAGAUCUGAAGACAAUCAUUUUCUAUUAUACAUAAUCUCACAGAUGCAGCCACACACUAAAGUGUUCAUCUGAGGCCACAGCCACAGAUAAACUACAGAAGACAGAAUGCACAUAGGAAAACAUAAGAUCAGAGGGAAAUAAACCAAAAUCUCUUUGCCUUAUAGGACAACUCUUUUGAAAAUUGAAGAGGACUGUGCACGAUGACAGACAAUGGUGAUUAUAUAUACAUUUUAAGAAGGUGUCAGAUUUACCUGAAAUCUUUCCCUGCCCAUCCUGUCCUCUCCACUUUGUCCUUCCUAGUGUCCCCUAAUCUACCUUUCAUUGUUUUGUCUGUGUGUCAGUGUCUGCUUCUAGGACCAUCUACUCUCACUCCCCAUCGAGUGCACACAGUGGGGUUCCUGUACACACAGGUAACAAACAGACAGAAAUGGUGGUGAUGGAGGAUAGAAGCAAGAUCACCCUUUGUGCAGGGGAGGCCAAGGGAGUUUUCUGGGGGUGAUGGGAACUUCCUAUAUCUAGAUUGAUGGGGUGCUUAUGCUCAUUUAUUUUGGAAAUAUUCCCUGACUCCAUGGUGCCUUGGGGUCAGAUAGACAGGUAUCUGUCCUUAGGAGAUGGCUGAGUUCUAAUGGUGGAGAAGGAUGAGGGACCAGCAGUGACUGUGGAGAGGAGUGAGGGUCAGACCCACGCCCAGGAUGCCAGGUCUCCACAGACAGCACCACGUGUAGGAGGACUCUGAGGAGCAGAGAUAUCUUGAACAGACCCAUGAACUACAUAAUCCUCCUGCACUUUCCUCACUGAGCGAUGACCAGAGCAAAGGCCAGCAGCUGGAGGACACCCUGAUCAUGGCUGGAGUGGAGCAGUGGGCCUGGGGGAUUGAGUCUAGGAAAGGGACAGGCAGAAGGUAGUGACAGGGAGUUUGAGAGAUAAAGGGAUAGUGACAGGGAGUUUGAGAGAUAAAGGGAAGAGGAGAGAAGGGAAUUUUUUCUACUGACUUCACCCACAUUUCUGUGUGACCAAAAGGAGAUCCUUGUCUCCCAGGGAAGGGAAGAGGGCUGGCAAAAAGACAGAGUGACAUUCUCAGCUCAAGUACCCAGGAUAUCUGCCUUGCUCUUGAGUACCUAACACAAGAAGCACGUGCUUUCUCUCAUGAUUGGAACUGCAGCUCAUACCAUUUAGUGAAAAUCAAUCCAAUUAUGAAUUCCUCAGCAUUAAAGUAUUGCAACAAAAUUAAGUGAACAUACUGAAAGAUACAACACAGGAUAACAUCCAAAGAUAGAUCAACUGCAAUACUACCGGAAUACAGUCUAUUAGAAAAGGAGGUAGGUACCCCAGUGCAGGCAUUCAGAUACCUGGGCAAUAUCUGAAAAGGUAAAAAAAAAUGUAGUCCUUACUUCAAAAGCAACAUUAGCGCUAGACACAAAGGGAUCAUGAUUUAAGGUUUAGAGAGAAACCAUAUGACUUCAUGGUGCUGUACCCAUAGAUCAAGUUUCAUCAAAUUAUACCCUUUAACUUGAGGCUAUUUGUUAUAUGUAAAUUAAACCUCAUUAAAGAGAAUUUCAAAACACAAAAUACUAGAAGCAAAUGUGGGAAAUUUCCUUUCUAAUCCUGAAGUGCAUGGGUGAUAUGAGUCUGUCUGCCCAUGUCUCAAAAAUCCAAAAUAAUAAGACAUUUAAAAAAUUAAUAAUAGCAGAGUAAGUGGGCCCUGAGCUCACCCUGUCCCAUGUUUUCAACUACAUAACUUCCACCUCCAAGUCCAUGAACCAGAGAAUGAUCCAAAGACUGGAAGAAAAACUCCACACCUAAAUAGACAGAAGCUGCAUCAGAAAGGUUAGGAAGGUCAGAAAGGUGGAGGCUGGCUGCCUGCAGAAUGGGCAGAGAAAGUGAGCCCUCACACCAGGGAGCUGACACAGGGAAGACUAAUCUCCAUAACAUUGGGCAUUAAAACCCAGAGGGGCUGAAUUCCCUUGAGUUUAGAUCCUGGAGGUUUGGAGGUCAGCUGACCCAGCACUGGGUGAUCCAGGAGGAUGAGUGAUAGCCAGGUCGCUGCCUGUGUAGAGAGGCAACAUAAACAUGGCAUUUUACACAAUGCCAAGGCAACAGGACACAGAUGUAUUCAUGCUGAUUCCUGAGUGUGUUGGAGGACUUCUCCAACAAUGAGGGAGAUCACAGGCACCAUUCUUCUCCCCCAGCCUCCCAGAAUAAGCAUAGAAUCACCCACCAGAGUGUGAGGCUGCACAGACACUUGCUACCUAACCUGUUAGCAGUGUGCCAGUCCCAAGGGUUCACUGGGGGACUCACCACACCAAGCCAGCUGGUCUCAGAGCAAACAUUCUUAAAACCACAAGGGCACCCUGUCCGACAAGCUGCAUGCAUAGCUGCCACAGCACGCUGUGCACAUCUGUACCUCACCCAGCUGUGCACAUCCAGGCACCCUCAUCUGUCUCACCCAGCCACAUGUCCCCAGGCACCAACACACUCUGUGCAUAUCCUCAAGCCCCUAGAUUCCACCGCUGGUCCACAGCCCCCAGCCACCAAAGGACAUCAGGAACUCUAGCAUAGGACUAGUAGCCCUGUGCAAUUUUGCUAACACUCCUACCCUGCUCCCAAGUUACCCAGUGGGCAUAACACCCCACAGCUUACCUGCCUGGGUCCCACUGACACCACUGAGAGCAAACACAGCCCACAACAGGCACGCAAUCAGUGCAGACACCUGCACUGAAAGGAAAAGUAACCCAGACACAACAGCAUGGAGUGAGCAAUACCCAUACGAUAUCCUCCUGAAGGUCCAGGUCCUAUAAAUGGAGACGUGCACUGCUGAGAACCCCAGGACCUCUUCUUCAUAACAUCGUUAAUUUCAAGAGCAGAAGGCACAGCUGACUUUCUUAAUACAGAGAAAUAGAGCCAGAGAGACAGACAAAAUGGGGACACAGAGAUGUUUAUCCACAAUGAAAGACUUAGUCAAAGCCACAGCCAGAAAUGUAAGCCAAAGAGAUAUAAGUAACAUACCUGAUAUAGAAUUUAAAGCAAUGAUCAUAAGGAGACUCAUUGGAGUUGUGAAACGUGUAGAAGAGUGCGACCCCUGACAUAGAGAUAUGAUAUAACACAGUAGACACUGAGGACACAAUGAAGGAGAAACACGCUUGCUGGAAUGAACAGAGGGAUGGAAGAAGCAGUGGAACACACUAGUGACCUCGAAGACUGAGUGAUGGAAAUUAAUCACGCUGAACCAAAGAGAGAGAACAGAAUUCUGCAACGUGAGAUGAGACUAAGGGAGCUCAGUGAAUACAGGAAAGAUAAUAGUAGUCAUAUUGUAGAAGUCCCAGAAGGAAGAGAAAGUGGGGCGGAAAAUUUAUUUGAGGAAAUAAUAGCUGAAAACGUCCCUAAUUGGGGGAGGGAAACAAACAUCCACAUCCGGAGGACCACAGAAUUCCCAUCAAAAUCAACAAAAUCAGGCCAACACACAAACAUAUUGUAAGAAAACUUGCAAAUUGUAGUGACAAUAAAGAAAAACUCUGAAAAGCAGCAAGACAAAAGAGACCUUAACAUAGAAGGGAAGACCCAUAAGGCUAGCUACAGAUUUCUGAGUAGAAACUUGGCAAGCCAGAAGAGAGUGACAUCACAUAUUCAAAGUGCUGAAUGGAAAAAUCAGCAGCCAAGAAUACUCUAUCCAGCAAGGCUAUCAUUCAGGAUGAAGGAGACACAGACACUCCCAAACAAAAACUAAAGGAGUUUGCACCACUAAACCAGUGCUGCAAGAAAUAUUACAAGGGAAUCUUUGAGUGGAAAGGAGAGACCGACAGUGACGGUAUAGACGUAGAAGACACAUCAAGUAAAAAAUGAAUAUUUCUGUAAAAAAUCAGUUAAGGAAUUCAGAGAAAUGGAUUUGAAAUAUAAUAACUUCUACCAAAUUCCUAAGGGGGAGAAAAUAAUGGGUGCAAAGGUAAAUGACCAUCAGCUUAAUACAAACUGCUAAAUGCAGAAGAGGUUAUAUAAACACCUAACAGUAACUAUAUACUAAAAACCAGUCAUAAAUAUGCUAAGAAUAGAGAUAAAGAUAUCAAAAUAUAUCACUAAAGAAAGUAAGAAAAACAUGAAAGAAAAGCAAGAAAUGAUCAGAGAAAAUCAUUAGAAACCACAACAGAACAGGCAAUAAAAUGGCAAUACGUACAUACAUAUCAAUCAUUACUUUGAAGGUAAAUGGAGUGAAUGCUCCAAUCUAGAGAUGUAGGGUGUAAGAAUGGAUGAAAAAACAAAACAGAUUUAGAUGCCUACAAGUGACCCACUUUACACCUCAGGAAUGAUAGUGAUAGGAUAGAGAAACAUUACACAAAUGAAUGUCAAAAGAAAGCUGGAGUAGCAAUACUUGUAUCAGAAAAAAUACACUUAAAAAAAAAGUACAUAACGAGACAAAGGAGGACACUAUAUAACAGUAAAUGGUACAACCCAAAAGGAAGAUAUAACAACUGUAAAUAUAUCCCAUAAUUAAGUGGGAUUUAUUCGCAAGCUACAAAGGUGGUUCAAUAUUCGCAAAUCAAUGUGAUACAAUAUAUCAACAGGAGAAAGGAUGAGAACCAUAUGAUCCGGGCAUCUGGGUGGCUCAAUCCUUUAACAGUCUGACCUCAGCUCAGGUCAUGACUUCAUGAUUCGUGAGUUCAACUCCCGCGUCAGACUCUAUGUUGAAAGCUCAGAGCCAAGAGCCUCCUUCGAAUUCUGUGUCUCCCUCGCUCUCUGCCCCUCCCCUGCUCAUGCUCUGCCUCUCUCAAAAUUAAUAAACGUUAAAAGAAAAGAACCAUACGGUCAUUUCAAUACAUGCAGAAAGGAGAAUUUGACAAAGUACAACAUCUAUUCAUGAUUGUAACCCCCUAAAGUACAGGGAACAUACAUCAACGUAGUAAAGGUUAUCUAUGAAAACCCUGAAGUUAUAAUCAACCUUAAUGGGGAAAAUCUGAGAACUUUUCCUGUAAGGUCAGGAAGAAGACAAGGGUGAUUACUCUUACCACUUUUAAUAAACAAAUUACUGGAAAUCCUAGCCACAGCCAGCAGACAAAUGAAACGAAACAAAAUGAAACGAAACGAAAUAAAAUAAAGUAAAAUAAAAUAAAAUAAAUAAAAUACAAACAAAUCCAAAUCUGGAAGAAGUGAAACUUUUACACUUUGCAGAUUACAUGACACUAUAGAAAACCCUAAAGAGUCCACCCAAUAACUGCUAGAACUGAUAAAUGAAUUCAGCAAUAUCACAGGAAACAAAAUCAUUGUACAGAAAUCUGUUGCAUUUGUAGACAAUACUGAAGCAGUAGAAAAAGAAAUUAAGAAAACAGUCCCAUUUACAGUUGUACACCAAAUAAGGUAUCUAUGAAUAAAUCUAACCAAAGUGGUGAGGGACGUAUACUCUGAAAAGUAUAAAACAGUGAUGAAAGAAAUUCAAGAUGACACAAAGAAAUGGAAGGGCAUUCCAUACUUAUGGAUCAGAAGUACAAAUAUAGUGAAAAUGUCUAUAGUUUCCAAAGCAACUGACACAAUUAAUGCAAUUUCCAUCAAAAUACCAACAGCAGUUUUCACAGAAUGAGAACAGUCCUAAAAUUUGUAUGGAACCAAAAAAGACCCCAAUCUUCAGAGUAAACAACCUUUAUGUGAAGUGAAAAUUAUGGAUGGCAUUAUGCCUCUGGAUCUUCUGCUCCAAAACACAGUAACUCUGGCCUAAGCAUUUGAACAAAUGUUAGACAUAUCCCAACCAAGGAUCAUUCUACAAAAUACAUUCUACAAACAUACCCUCAAAACUUCGCAGAUUAUGAAAAAUAUGGAAAAAAUCUAAAAAUCGUCAUGGCCAAGUGGAGCCUAAGGAGACAGGAUGACUGUAAUGUGCCAGCUGGGAUGAGUCUGGGAUAGAAGAGGUUAAAACCGAAGCAAUCUGAAUACAAAUAUAAAUUUUACUUCACACUACCAUAUCUCUUUGGGAUAUUGAUUGUUAUUAUGUACCAACUUAUAGGACAUCAAUAGUCAGAAAACAGUCUGAUGUAUGUGGAGACUCAGCAAUACCUUCCCAAUUUUUCUGGUAACUAGAAACCCAUCACAAUGAAAAGAUUAUUAGUAAUCACGGUUUUAUGUUUUCAACACAUAAUAUUAUAUGGCUAGUUCUAGUAUUAGUUACUAGUGAUGGCCAUUUACCUAUUCUUGUUGUUCUUACUAUUGUUUAAUUUAAAUAAUAGCAUUCAUGGUACAGAAAACUGAAUGCAUGAUAUGCAAUUCAUAGAAAUAUCUACUUUAUAUAUUUUAAGAUAAUAACAUGUAUAUACCACUGUAUUAUGUGGUAUGUAAAUUAAAUGUUUUUCUGAUCUUGAACGAGCAUGUCAAUGAAUGGCUUUCCAUAAAGGUGGUUAUCCUAGAUAAUGAAUGAUACUCAGAUUUUACAGGAUGUACUUCACAUCAUGCCUGAACAUUGUCAAAAAUAAAAAUAUACACACGGCCAGAUGAAUCAUUGUGACUGGCUCACUUAUUUUAAAGAAUCCUUGCUUUAAUAUUUUCACGCAUAUUUUUAGCAGGAAUACAAGGGAAUCAGAUUAUUUCCGAAAAAAAGAGAUAUUCAAAGACUGGAAGAAUGAUAGGGAGUUCAAGGGGUUUCAGAAGGAAGAGAUGUGACCAUGAAUGGGGAGUCACAGGCAAGCAGCUUUCUCUGGGCCACUCUGACAUGUUUGCAUGAUGAUAUGUGACUUGCCAAAGGGUUAGACCCAGAAUUACAAGAGGGAAAGACAACACUUUAGGAAGAGGUGACUUGGAAAAGGUGCUUCUGUACCUAAGUGAUGGCUCAGCAACCUCGCUGGGGUCCCUGGGUCAAAGACUUCAAAAGACCAGCAACCUAGACUCACAAAGAUCUUAGUAACAUAGAUCAAUGUAACUUAGAGACACAAAGAUCUUAGAGCCACAGAGUUGAUCUUCAUCUUUGAUUAGGAAAUGGCCACAGUUUCACGGGAUAUGAUCAUUGGGCUGGCAGUAGAUGGCUAAAAUACUAUUUAGGGGUAUAUUUUUAAUAAAAAAAUGGAUUUGUAAAAAUUUGGGUUUGGAAUGUUAAGAAAAAUCACAGGCCCAAUGUUACUUAUGUUAAGGCCCCAUGUCACUAAAUCUAAUUUGAUUCCUGCAGGAAAGUAUCCUUUAACCAGGCAGCAAAGAAUUUCCUAGCCAGUGCUGGAAAUUUAACUGAUAGAUCCCUGACAUUCCCCUCAGAGGAGUCUUGCCUAAAUAGGGUAUUCCAUGCCACUAUUUUUUUUUAGUUUAUUUAUUUUGAGAGCAAGAGAAAGAGGGCACACUCAAGGGAGGGGCAGGAUGAGAGGGAAAGAGAGAAUUCCACGACCACGAGGUCAUGAUCUGAGCCAGGGUCAAGAGUCAGACACUUAAGCCAUCCAGGCACCCCGAGAUUGUGAGGUUUUAAAGGUUAGCAGUCUUGCUGGGAUACAGCCCCAAGGGCACUGGCCUACUCCUGAAGAGAAGGCAGCAAACAACUUGCAGGCAGAUGGCAUGGAAAGAGUGAUCUGUACAAUGCCUGGUGCACAGAGAGGGGAGAUUAUACACUUAAUGUGGAGAGCAUCCCUGAGAAGCAGUGUUCACAAUGAGGGGACAAAGAGUUGGGACAGAGGAGCUGCGUGUGCCAUUUCUCUGAUCUGCCCUGCGCCCCCCCCCCCCCCCAGCAUAAACACAGAGUCAUCUGCUGGAAACAAGGCAAUUCCCACACUGGCUGCCCAAGCUGCUUACACCAACCCCACCUUCCUGUGCUCUGGUGAGACUGGCCUUCUAGGUUAUUCAAGCUUGCCUCAGUCUCAAUGGAGCUGGCCCACUCCCUAGAAGACCAGUGGAAGCCCAUGACCACACCACCUCUCUUGACCAGACAGUUCUGCAGGGCUUCACUUCUAGUGGCAGUCGUUUCAAGUCUCAUUUAACAAGCAGAUCGGAGCAGACCUAGAUAAGUAUCACCACAUUCUGGCCAAGGACCAUACAUUGCCCAUACAACUGGCCUGAAGGAUAGUGCAGCCAGAAUACAAAACAGUGCAUGCAACACACACCACAGACACUCCCUGAUGUGCCAGGCCCUGGACAUUGGAUGACCUCCUCUUCAUAAAACCAUUCAACUCACAGGCAGGUAACAUAAUGAGCUUUGGUAACACAGAGAAAGCAAAUACUCAGCCAAAAUGCCAAGACAAGAGGAAGGCAUCCCAACUGAAAGAACAAGAUAAGGUCAUGGGCAGAGAAAUAGAAGGAACACUUCCAAACUCAUUCUAAGAGGCCAGCUUGGCCCUGGGUCCAAACUGGACAAAGACCCCACUAAAAAGGAAAACUACAGACCAAUUUCCCUGUAUGUUCCCUGUAUGUUCAUAUAUACAUACGUAUGUAUAUACAAUGAAAUAUAACUCAGCUUCAAGAAGAAUGAAAUCUUGCCAUUUGAAACUAUGUGGAUGGAGCUAGAAUGUAUUAUGCUAAAUGAAAUAUGUCAAUCAGAAAGACAAAUAUAUGAUUUCACUCAUGUGAAAUUUAAGAAACAAUACAGAUGAAAACAUGGGAAGGGGGCAGGAAAAGAGAAGAGUGGUAACAAACGACAUGAGUCUCUUAAUGAUAGAGAAAAAAAAGUGAAGGUUGAUGAAGGGAGAUGGGUUGGCACUGGGCUAGAUGGCGGACGAGUAUUAAGGAGAACACUUAUUGUGAUGAACACUGGGUGUUGUAUGUAAGAGAUGAAUCACUGAAUUCUACUCCUGAAUCCGAGAAUGCACUGUAUGUCAACUAAGACUUAAAUUAAAAAAAAAAAAAAAAAAAGGCUGUAACAAGAGAUGAAGACGGACACUAUCUCAUACUAAAGGGGAUAACCAAACAAGAAGAUCCAAUGAUUGUAAAUUUUGAUGCUCCCAACAUGUGAUCACCAAGUAUAUAAAACAUUUAACAACAACCAUAAAGGAACUCAUUUAUAAUAAUAUAACGAUAGUAGAAGACUUUAACACAUCACUCACAUCAAAGGACAGAACCUGUAAACAGAAAAUCAAUAAGGAAACAAAGGCUUUGAAUGACACACUGGACCAGAUGGGUUUAACAGAUAUGUUCGGAACACUCCCUACUAAAAUGGCAGAGUACACAUUCUUUUCAAGUGCACAUGGGGCAUUCUUCAGAACUGAUCACAUUCUAGGUCACAAAGCAGGCCUCAACAGGUACCCAAAGACAGAGAUCAGGCCAAGCAUCUUUUCUGACCACAAAGCUAGGAAACUUGAUGUUAACCACACACACUCACACACACACACACACACACACACACACAAAGGGGGAAAGGCCACAAAAAAGGGAGGUUAAAUAACAUGCUGCUAAAUGAAUGGGUCAAACAGGAAAUCAAUGAGAAAAUACACUGAAGCAAAUGAAAGUGAAAAUACACUGGUAAAAACCUUGGGAAUGCAGCAAAUGCAGUCUAUGAUGGAAGUAUAUAGCAGUACAAGCCUACCAUAAAGAGCAAGAAAAACCUCAAACAAUCCUAACUUACAACUAAAGGAAUGAGAAGAACAGCAGAAAGAAGGAAAUAAUAGAGAUUAAGGCAGAAAUAAGGAAUAUAGAAACCAAAAAGACACUAGAUCAAAUCAAUGAAACCAGGGGCUGGUUCUUUGAAAACAGUAAUCAACUUGAAAACCUCCUAGGCAGACUUUUCACAAAGAAGAGAGAAAGGACUCAAGUAAAUAAAAUCACAAAUAAGAAAGGAGACAUAACAGUCAACACCACAAAAAUACAGUUAGAAGAUAAUAUGAAAAACUGUAUGCAACAAAUUGGACACUCUGAGAAAAAUGGACAAAUUCCUAGACCUGGUAAAAGAGGAGGUCCUCUUGCAUCCAUAGGGACCUACAGAACAGAAGUGACAGGUAUGUUAGUAUGACAGAAGCAGAACGCCCACAGGAGCUGAAACACAAUGAAGCAGGUGUUGGCACCUGACCCCUUGUUCAUUCAUGGGUUCUAGUAGAACAGAGCAUCAGUGCCAGAAAACUCCACCCUCCCACGAGGUCCCACCUACAGCCUGAAGGUACCAGAUGGCACAAGGAAAAACUGUCGCCACACGUCACUGCCCAUGUUUACAAAUGAAGAAAACCAAGGAGUCCUAUUCUAGAAGAUUGAUGGCAGUAAUGCCAGUCUAAUAAAGGAGCAUAUUCCAGAGAGGCAGGCAUCUAUGUCCAGGACACUUCUGGUGUCCUCUUCCACCAGAUCUGCAGACUUUUUAUUUGCACAUUGAGAUCAGACAGAACAUGAAGGAAUGAAAGAAAAGCCCAGCACCACACAGAGAUUCAGGGUCACCCCAGGGUCAAAGCUCAACCUGCCAUCCCAUGCCUGUCCUCACUCUGCUUCCCUCCCUGACAAAGGCAUCUUCUGUGCAAGGCCAGGGAGACCUCUGAGGAGAUGGGGAUUCCUGGAGUCCUGCAGGGGGCCUGGAAACGUGUUUUCUGAGAGAAACACAUUACCUGUGCACAUUCAUUGGUCUCAAGUAUGUUUAUCUUAAUUCACAGGUAAUUCAGCUUUUAAAUACAAUAUGAGUUGCAGACCUGUUUUGUCCCAUUGUAAAAGAGAGGUAGAAAUUCUACAUAAAAGAAUGAACAGAAACAUGUCUCAAUUUCAGGUGUAAAACUCCCAUAAGGUACCAUGAGACAAAGUACCAGUUACAACUGCUCCCAGGACACAAGAGAACCUGCU